CGCGUUCAAAUCUCUCUCUCUCUCUCUCUCUCGCGCGCGCGCGCAUCAACCAUCCCAAUCUCACACACAAACUCUUGGUGGAAAAGCUGUGGAUCUCUGGGCAGAACUGAUAGCUGCUGAACAAGAAGAAAAUCAUCACCACCCACAACCACCACAAAUUGCUGUUGUCUACUGCCGCAAAAAUGCCCUGAAUUCCCACAAAGAUGAGGCUAUCGAAUUCCAGUAAUGAGAGUAGGUUGAGUUUGGCCCCCCGUAAAGCGAGUCAGUUGGAGCCGUUCUCUUUCUACCAGGUGGGCAAACCAAGCAUCAGAGUUAGAUGGCCUCAAGUUUACCCAGGUCAGCCUUUUUGUGGAGCUUCCAAGAGAAGAAAUCAGGCUCGUGUGGAGCCAUGCUUAUCGAACCCCUUUUUGUGUGGUUUAGUAGUUUUGUAUUUGUACAUAGUUGGGGUCGUAUGUUAUAAGUCAUGAAUUUGCACUUAUGUUGAAUGUAACUUGGAAUAAAACCUUGUUCAUCA